rnacentral:pre_miRNA from 1 species
GAUAUACUCCCUCCGUCCGGAAAUACUUGUCAUCAAAAUGAAUAAAAGGGGAUGUAUCUAGAUGUAUAUUAGUUCUAGAUACAUCCGUUUUUAUCUAUUUUGAUGACAAGUAUUUCCGGACGGAGGGAGUAGUAG